GAGAGAGAGAGAGAGAGAGAGAGAGAGAGAGAGAGAGAGAGAGAGAGAGACACAGAGUGAGUGAGUGAGAGCCAGAGUGAGAGAAAGACAGAAAGAGACAGACAGCUGGACACAGCUGACAUUCUUCUAGUGUGAGACUUGUUCUUGUGGAACCAACUCCUGUGUUUCUCUAAGAACCAACAUCUGUCCGACUCUCUUUCUACUAAUCUCUCUCUCUACUAAUCUGUCUGUUUCUCUUCAUUCAACCAUGUCUCUUUAUUACUUUGACUUUGAUGAGACUUUUGACUCUCUUUCUAUUUAUCUGUCCGUCUCUUUAUUCCACUUGCUCUCUCUUAAUUUCUCUCUUUUUCUAUUAAUCUGUCUAUUCAUGUCUGUCUCUUUCCCUUAGCCCGUCUAUUUAUUUAUUUAUUUAUUUAUUUCUCUCUCUUUUCAUUAACCCGUGUCUGUCUUUCUAUUAAUCUCCCUGUUCCUCUUUCGGUUGACCUGUCCUCUCUCUCUUCCUUUUUAUCGGUCUGUUUCUCCCUCAUUCUCUUUCGAUCAUUCUACAAUUGUUCCCUUUCUGUUCUUUUUUUUUCUUCUUCAUUUGCUUGUUGCUCUGUCUCUCUUUCUGACUGAAUCUGUCUGCCCCCCCCGUCACUCCCUUGGCUCUCUCAUUUCGUAGCCGUCUCGGUCACAGUGUAUUUAUCUUAUAUUUAUAAUCCGUAUCUCUCUCUCUCAUCCUCUUUCUGUCCUUCUCUCUCAUUCUAGUCCUUAUACAUUCUCUUCUAACAAUCUAGACAACUUUAAAAUGCUAAAGAUCAACGUCAACAUGGCUCUCUCUCCACACACACACACACACACACACACACACACACUUAGUAGAAAAAAAUCCCAAACAGCUAACUCCUCUCCCAUUUUCUGUUUCUUUCUCUCACCUUAAGCGGAGCACCGUCCUCAAGGAGCCAUUCUCCACGUUUACCCCACACACUCACACACACACACACACACACACACACACAGACACAGAGAGAGACACACACACAGAGAGAGAGACACACACAUACAGAGAGAGACACACACACACAGAGAGAGACACACACAGAGAGAGAGAGAGACACACACACAAGAGAGAGAGACACACACACACAGAGAGAGAGAGACACACCACAGAGAGAGAGAGACACACACACACACACAUACAGAGAGAGACACACACAC
ensembl:lncRNA